GUAAGGAAUAUUGGACAAUGGCCGCAAGGCUGAUCCAGCCAUGCCGCGUGCAGGAUGAAGGUGCUCUGCAUUGUAAACUGCUUUUGUUCGGGAAUAAACCCUUUCACGUGUGAGAGGUUGAAUGUACCGAAAGAAUAAGGGACGGCUAACUUCGUGCCAGCAGCCGCGGUAAUACGAAGGUCCCAAGCGUUAUCCGGAUUUAUUGGGUUUAAAGGGUGCGUAGGCGGGUUAUUAAGUCAGUGGUGAAAGCUCCCAGCUCAACUGGGAAACUGCCAUUGAUACUGAUAGUCUUGAGUAUGAUUGAAGUGGGCGGAAUGUGUCAUGUAGCGGUGAAAUGCUUAGAUAUGACACAGAACACCGAUUGCGAAGGCAGCUCACUAAGCCAUAACUGACGCUGAUGCACGAAAGCGUGGGGAGCAAACAGGAUUAGAAACCCUGGUAGUCC
rnacentral:rRNA from 1 species